GAUGAAGAACUUAGCGAAAUGCGAUAAGUAAUGUGAAUUGCAGAAUUCAGUGAAUCAUCGAAUCUUUGAACGCACAUUGCGCCCGCCAGUAUUCUGGCGGGCAUGCCUGUUCGAGCGUCAUUUCAACCAUCAAGCCCCAGGCUUGUGUUGGAGCCCUGCGGCUGCCGCAGCCUCCCAAAACCAGUGGCGGGCUCGCUAUCACACCGAGUGCAGUAGUUUACUCUUCGCUCAGGGCGUGUGGCGGGUGCUAGCCGUAAAACCCCCAACUUCUCAAGGUUGACCUCGGAUCAGGUAGGAAUACCCGCUGAACUUAAGCAUAUCAAUAAGCGGAGGA
rnacentral:misc_RNA from 1 species